UACAGAGGUCCCAAGCGUUGUUCGGAUUCACUGGGCGUAAAGGGUGCGUAGGUGGUGAGGUAAGUCGGAUGUGAAAGCUCCGAGCUCAACUCGGAAAUGGCAUUGGAAACUACCUUGCUAGAGGGUUUGAGGGGGGACUGGAAUACUUGGUGUAGCAGUGAAAUGCGUAGAUAUCAAGAGGAACACCAGUGGCGAAGGCGAGUCUCUGGACAUUUCCUGACGCUGAGGCACGAAAGCCAGGGGAGCAAACGGG
rnacentral:rRNA from 1 species